CGGUUUUGGGACGCGGAGGGACAUUA
rnacentral:rRNA from 1 species